GAAACAAAAAGACUAGAAACAAAAGCAAAAUAGGAAAGCACAGCAAUGAAAUUGACGAUCUCCUUUCUUCAUCUAUGGAGCUUUGCCGACUAAGAUCAAUGUAGCAUUUGUCCUCUGUCUUCACUAAUCGAAGGUAUUAUUGUUUUUUCCUUCUUUCCUUGUCCUUCGUUUGUUGAAUUGAUUUCCUUUGUUCUUCAAAUCUGAGAAGUUGAUGGUAAAGAUCUAGCUGGGAUUUACACUUUUCCUUCCUAAACUGAGGAUUCAGGAGAUUUAUUCGUUGAUUACUCAGAGGUAUGUAAUGGUGCUGGUGAAGGUGCCGCUGCAAUUUGCUCUUGUUCAACCCAAAUCGAAGAUGUAUACACCUUAAUCGUUGAUUUCCCAGAGGUUGGCAUUCUUCAGAGGGAAUAAAUUUAUACCUUUCUCUGCCAGUUAGGGGAAUUACAUUUGCUUCGCUUUAUGGGAUCCCUGGAUAUUCUAUAACAUCGAAUAGGUUCGUUAAUUCUACUUAGAGUCUCUAGAGUCAUACCUUGCUUCAAUUUGGCUAAGUAAGUUUUCUUCCCUCUGGCUGAUUAAAUUUUAUAUCUUUUAUUUAAAUUUAAUGUUUUAUAUUGAAAAAAAAUAUUAGAUGUAAUUAACUUAUAAAAGAGUAGACUCCAAACAUAGAUGCAUGAAAAUAGUGGCUUUUCGGGAACAAAGGUUAGUACUUUUCAAUUCUCCGGCUUAGAGUUGCAAUGAUUUGCUCUGCCUUUUUAAAAAGAAUCUCUUGAUUCUACCUUUUAUCCUUACAUUCCUAAUAUAACUGAAAAUGAAAACCUCAUUGCACUAUCUCAAAAAAUCAUUACAUUUAUUGUUAGCUACUCGGAGGUUUUCCCAAAGAUUUCACUUUCAAGCUUGGAAUUUUUUUCUAGCUUGCUCCAAUUGUUAUAUUAGUAGCUUCUGAGUUACAUCCAUAUAAUGAGACUAAGAACUGAUUUCUUUAUUUUUCCUAAUUCCAAUUUCUUCGUUGGUGUUUUCCAAAAAUCUCACAUUGGCCCUUAUUUAAAUAACUAGCUCUUGGCGCAUCGAGCAUAUCUCAAACCUCGAAAAGUGUGGUUGUAAUUGUGAUGUUUUUUUUACGGUAAAGACAUGAGCAUUUCAAAGGUAUUACUGGAAAGAUUGAUAUGGCAAGACAACAUCUAAUUCACCUGCAGCAGCAACUGAAGCUCCAGUAUAGUGAUACACUAGCUAACGAAGGAAAAGAAGCUUUGGUCCAACUAGAAAAGUGGUCACUUACUAAAGAAAGCAUUCUAAGACAAAAGUCUAGAUUUUAGUUGGAUUAAGCUUGUGAUGCCAAUACCAAGUAUUUUUCAGCAGUGAUGAAAGAGAAAAGGUAGCAAAAACAAAUAGUAGAACUUACAUCUUUGACUGGACAAAAACUGACAGAUGCAAAGGCAAUCCAAGAAGAGAACAUACAAUUCUAUAAAUCACUAAUGGGGACGUCAACAUAAUCAUUACUUGCGGUAAGCAAAACUACCAUGAGUAAAGGUCCAGUUUUUAGUCACCAAUAGCAGGUUGAGUUGUGCAAAGAGAUUACAGAUCAGGAGAUCUUAAAGGGCCUGCAGUAUAUAAGAGAUGAUAAAGCACUUGGCAUAGAUGGUUUCAAUGCAUUGUUUUAUAAAAUAGCUUGUCCACUUAUUAAGGAAAGAUAUUUGUGCAGCUAUCCAUGAAUUCUUCAACACCACCAGCUUAUACAAAGCAGUGAACUGUACUCUCAUCACCUUAUUGCCUAAGGUUCCAAACCCACAGACAAUCAAGGAAUACAGGUCCAUUGCCUGUUGUACAGUCCUCUACAAGUUGAUAGCAAGGGUCCUAACAACAAGAAUGAAGAAUAUCAUGCCUCAUAUUAUCAGUGACACCCAAGCUAGAUUUAUUCCAGGGAGAAGGAUUGCAAACAACAUCAUCAUGUGACAUGAAUUGGUCAAACGGUACUCCAGAAAAACAUAUAUGCUAGAAGUAUGCUUAAAGUAGAUUCGCAAAAAACGUAUGAUUCAGUUGAAUGGGUUUUUAUAGAAUAAGUCUUAACAGAAUUGAAGUUUCCAGCAAAGUUCAUUGGUUGGAUAAUGUGCUGUAUGAAAACAGUGAGCUACUCAAUUACCAUUAAUGGAGUUGUUACAGAACCAUUUGAGGCAGCUAAAGGCUUAAGGCAAGGGGAUCCAAUGUCCCCUUACCUUUUUGCAAUAAUAAUGGAGUACUUGAGUAGAUUUCUCAAUGAACUGGCAGAUAACAAGCAAUACAAAUAUCAUCCCAAAUGUGUCAAAGUUAAAUUGACCUAUCUUUC